rnacentral:rRNA from 1 species
GACGAACGCUGGCGGCGUGCUUAACACAUGCAAGUCGAACGGAAAGGCCCUGCUUUUGUGGGGUGCUCGAGUGGCGAACGGGUGAGUAACACGUGAGUAACCUGCCCUUGACUUUGGGAUAACUUCAGGAAACUGGGGCUAAUACCGGAUAGGAGCUCCUGCUGCAUGGUGGGGGUUGGAAAGUUUCGGCGGUUGGGGAUGGACUCGCGGCUUAUCAGCUUGUUGGUGGGGUAGGGGCUUACCAAGGCUUUGACGGGUAGCCGGCCUGAGAGGGUGACCGGCCACAUUGGGACUGAGAUACGGACCAGACUCCUACGGGAGGCAGCUGUGGGGAAUAUUGCACAAUGGGCGGAAGCCUGAUGCAGCAACGCCGCGUGCGGGAUGACGGCCUUCGGGUUGUAAACCGCUUUCGCCUGUGACGAAGCGUGAGUGACGGUAAUGGGUAAAGAAGCACCGGCUAACUACGUG